AUGGCUGCGGUUGAUUUUGACCUUAAGUUUACCUAUGUGCUAGCUGGUUGGGAAGGGUCAGCCCAUGAUGCACUCAUUUUGGCCGAUGCGUUGGAAAGGAAUGAUGGAUUUGUUGUCCCUGCAGGAAAAUUCUACCUCGUGGAUGCGAGCUAUGACGUGCGGCCAGGGUUUCUUCCACCAUAUAGGGCUACUCGUUAUCAUCUUACUGAGUUUGGCGCAUGA
rnacentral:rRNA from 1 species